rnacentral:rRNA from 1 species
CGGGGUGCACCAGGCGCGAAAACUUUACAAUGCGGGAAACCGUGAUAAGGGAACUCCGAGUGCCCGUUAAAUCGGGCUGUCCAUCAGUUUAAAAAACUGGUGAAGAAAGGGCCGGGCAAGACCGGUGCCAGCCGCCGCGGUAAUACCGGCGGCUCGAGUGGUGGCCACUAUUACUGGGCUUAAAGCGUUCGUAGCUGGUUUGUUAAGUCUCUGGGGAAAUCUUCCGGCUUAACCGGAAGGCGUCUCAGGGAUACUGGCAGACUAGGGACCGGAAGAGGUGAGGGGUACUCCAGGGGUAGGAGUGAAAUCCUGUAAUCCUUGGGGGACCACCUGUGGCGAAGGCGCCUCACCAGGACGGCUCCGACAGUGAGGGACGAAAGCUGGGGGAGCAAACCGGAUUAGAUACCCGGGUAGUCCCAGCCGUAAACGAUGUGCGUUAGGUGUAUCGGUGACCACGAGUCACCGAGGUGCCGAAGAGAAAUCGUGAAACGUACCGCCAGGGAAGUACGGUCGCAAGGCUGAAACUUAAAGGAAUUGGC